AAAAUCACAAAGCUGUUCUUUAUACUGCAAAUGUUGCUGGAGCUUUGACUUCUUUGGACCCUUUUUCUUUUCUGUGCAUCUAUGAAAUAGGUGUAGAAACAUGUUGCAAACCAUGUACCUGGCAUAGACUUGGGUUAGUCUUUCUAGCACCUAUACUAUUUUCUGUAGUAGCAGGCUGAAGUCAGACAGCUUUUGGUGGUUCAGGUUGAUUUCUGUCUAUCAAACUUCUGCAAAAGGAAGAAGAUCAUUCAACUUGUCCUUCCUGUAUAAUGCACAAUUCUUUUGGCCUUCCUUAUACUCCAGCUCUGUAAUGUGGAAAAAUCACUUUAGUAAAAUUUGAAGAUUAUGGAUUUUUUUUUUUUGUCCCACUGGGGAAAAAAAAGAUUUGGUACCAAAUAUAUAUUUUUUGCCAUACAUAAGUCAAAAUUUAAAAUUACAAUCUUGUUACUUAUUUAGACUUUUCAGUGGCAAAAACAAGUUUCCAUAUAAGAUUAAGCUGGUAUUAGUUGCAUUACAUACUUGCACCUCCUUCCAUGUAUUUCAGUGUAAAUAUGUUUAUGUAUUGUAAAAUUUAAAUUUAAAGUCGAUUAUUAUGUGUGAGGAAAGCUCCAGUACGAAAAAUACAAAACUGUGCAGUGCAUCCCUUUUCUUCCUAACUGAUUCAGCAUCAGGGCAGAGUCUGUUCCAGCUGCCAGAAGCAGAGGACAACAACACGGAGGGCUAACACAGAGAGACAAGCACUCAUAUUCACAUUCACACCUAUGACCAAUUUAGAAUUACACGUUACUCUAACAUGCAUGUGUAAAGGGAGAGAACCUAUAAAGGUACAGAGAUAAAGUCCCCGGCCAAAGAACUCAAACCCUUCUUGUAUUCUCGCUGUGAGUUGAAAGCGCUGCAGUUACCUAAUAAUUACCUGAGCCGAGGAUUCAGCCCAGCUUAGAAGCGAUUACGUUUUAGUUUCAGAAUCAGAAUCAGAAAGGGGUUUAUUGCCAAAUGUUGAGCAGGUUUACAACAUUAGGAAAUUGCUGAAUCCAGAUUUCUUUUUCCUUGUGAGAUAACUGUAUCAUGUCCUCAUGAAUAGAAAUUAAUAAUAAAAAAUGCAUUAUAUGAUACUGCAUUGGUGUUUGCAGGAAAAUAAUUACUACUUAAAUACUAUGUGCACAGAGCACCCGUGUUUGUCCCCCCCAAUGUUACAAGAGCUGACCUGUAGAGGGCAUCUGAGCACAACGAAAUGAUCACUAGGUUACAGCUGGAGGCCUGACAGGCUCCCAGAGGCUCUUUGUGUGAGUAUGAAUGCAUGCAAGCUGUAACAUAUUAAAGACAUAAAAGCACUACAAAUAUUGACUCAUGUCUUUAACUUGUUGUCUAGCAUAAGUCAAACAUUUGUAAACUGUGGCUUUUUAAAUUGAGAUCACUGGC
ensembl:lncRNA